AGCGAACGCUGGCGGCAGGCCUAACACAUGCAAGUCGAACGAACCUUCCGGGGUUAGUGGCGGACGGGUGAGUAACACGUGGGAACGUGCCUUUAGGUUCGGAAUAACUCAGGGAAACUUGUGCUAAUACCGAAUGUGCCCUUCGGGGGAAAGAUUUAUCGCCUUUAGAGCGGCCUGCGUCUGAUUAGCUAGUUGGUGAGGUAAAGGCUCACCAAGGCGACGAUCAGUAGCUGGUCUGAGAGGAUGAUCAGCCACGUUGGGACUGAGACACGGCCCAAACUCCUACGGGAGGCAGCAGUGGGGAAUCUUGCGCAAUGGGCGAAAGCCUGACGCAGCCAUGCCGCGUGAAUGAUGAAGGUCUUAGGAUUGUAAAAUUCUUUCACCGGGGACGAUAAUGACGGUACCCGGAGAAGAAGCCCCGGCUAACUUCGUG
rnacentral:rRNA from 1 species